rnacentral:rRNA from 1 species
UUGCGGUCGGAAAUCGUACGUAGAGUGUAAAGGCAAAAGAGAGCUUGAUUGCAAGACAUACAGGUCGAGCAAGGAUGAAAAUCGGACUUAGUGAUCCGGUGGUUCUGCGUGGAAGGGCCAUCGCUCAACG